GACGAACGCUGGCGGCGUGCUUAACACAUGCAAGUCGAACGGAAAGGCCCUGCUUUUGUGGGGUGCUCGAGUGGCGAACGGGUGAGUAACACGUGAGUAACCUGCCCUUGACUUUGGGAUAACUUCAGGAAACUGGGGCUAAUACCGGAUAGGAGCUCCUGCUGCAUGGUGGGGGUUGGAAAGUUUCGGCGGUUGGGGAUGGACUCGCGGCUUAUCAGCUUGUUGGUGGGGUAGUGGCUUACCAAGGCUUUGACGGGUAGCCGGCCUGAGAGAGUGACCGGCCACAUUGGGACUGAGAUACGGCCCAGACUCCUACGGGAGGCAGCAGUGGGGAAUAUUGCACAAUGGGCGGAAGCCCGAUGCAGCAACGCCGCGUGCGGGAUGACGGCCUUCGGGUUGUAAACCGCUUUCGCCUGUGACGAAGCGUGAGUGACGGUAAUGGGUAAAGAAGCACCGGCUAACUACGUG
rnacentral:rRNA from 1 species